AGCGAACGCUGGCGGCAGGCCUAAUACAUGCAAGUCGAACGGCUCUUCGGAGCAGUGGCGGACGGGUGAGUAACGCGUGGGAACGUUCCCUUUGGUUCGGAACAACACAGGGAAACUUGUGCUAAUACCGCAUGUGCCCUUCGGGGGAAAGAUUUAUCGCCAUUUGCGCGGCCCGCGUUGGAUUAGCUAGUUGGUGGGGUAAUGGCCCACCAAGGGGACGAUCCAAAGCUGGUCUGAGAGGAUGAUCAGCCACACUGGGACUGAGACACGGCCCAGACUCCUACUGGAGGCAGCAGUAGGGAAUCUUGCGCAAUGGGCGAAAGCCUGACGCAGCCAUGCCGCGUGAAUGAUGAAGGUCUUAGGAUUGUAAAAUUCUUUCACCGGGGAAGAUAAUGACGGUACCCGGAGAAGAAGCCCCGGCUAACUUCGUGCCAGCCGCCGCCGUAA
rnacentral:rRNA from 1 species